UCUGCUCAUAAUCUCCUCUAAUUUCAGGUACCCAAUACAAUUUCUUUAGGAAUUCACUCUUUGUGGCCCUAUACUAUCAGUUUUGAACAAGCGAACUCAUCUCCGGGUUUGUUUUGGAUUGUUGAUCGGCUUAUUCAGUGGAUUGUCCCUCCACAAUUUCUUAUUCUCUCUGAUCUUAUUCCUCGACAGUGAGAAGCAGAAAGAAAGCAGCCGAGAGAAAAACAGAGAGAGGGUACGUAUCGGUGCCACCUAGCUACAACCGAUUGUUACAUCAAUGUUUUCCUCCAUGAUCGAGAGAUAGAGUCGUCGCUUGGAGGAGUUUUUGAUGGUUCAACCUAGACGGAGCGUUGCUUGCGAUUUGCGAAUAUGGAUUUUGAUCAAGGAAUAGAUUUGGCAAAGAAGACCUCAUUUGUACGUAUGUCCUUUUGAAGGGAGAGCACAUAUAACUUUAAUAUAUUUGGGGGCAGGAAGCUCUCUAUGCCAUGUCUUCAGGCUUCCCAAUGAUACUUCUACUGAGUUAUCGGUUGCUUCUUCCCGGCAGAAGUUGAAGUCCAAAGCCUGCUACAUGAACAUUGAAUGAGCACUGUAAAUUUAAUGGGGGAUCAACUACUAUAGUUUGGAACCUAAUUCAGGAUUUUGAAUGCAGGCUCAGCAGUGUCCAUCCUUGAUCUUAAUAAGAGUACCAACCCAGUAACUGCCUCAUUUCAGACGUGCUGAAUGUUUCUUCCAUCACUGGGAAAUGUUGAUUGACAAUGUUAUUGUCCCUGUGGCUUCAUUUGAUUUGGGUCAUCAAGUAUCAAAUAAGUUAUUGUUCCUUGGAAAUUAAGCCACAACCUUAUUAAAGGAAGCAGAAUUCAUAAGACAUAUCCACUCAAGGCUGGCUUUUGGGAAUCGAUUAAAUCUGGGGAGAAGGAUUGGAGGGUGAUGAGCUAAGAAGGAAUUCUUAUGUCAUCAAGAUCCUAAAGAAGACAAGUUUCCAUGGCUCUAGCGCGUUGAAAAAGCCAGAAACAACCCUGGAGCAUGAUUGAAGCUCUCAAAACCACUUUGGAAGGCUCCCUCCUAAUAUCAGAGACGAAUGAUGCAAGGACAAGGUUGCACCUAUGUAAUGGUACCAUGAUCACAGGGAUAUAGCAUUUUCGGCUUAUAAGCUUUUGACGCUGUCGCGGUUGCUUUACAUAAUAGUUAUUUUUCCAUUCCCUGUUUGUUGAUAAGAUUCCGUGUAUUUCAAUCAAUUAUCGUCUUACAAUGUCAAUCAACUAAUCAACAAUUUAGCUUCAGUUUAUUAAAACUAUCAU